AGAGGAAGUAAAAGUCGUAACAAGGUUUCCGUAGGUGAACCUGCGGAAGGAUCAUUAACGAGUUUUGAAACGGGUUGUAGCUGGCCUUCCGAGGCAUGUGCACGCCCUGCUCAUCCACUCUACCCCUGUGCACUUACUGUAGGUUGGCGUGGGCUCCUUCACGGGAGCAUUCUGCCGGCCUAUGUAUACUACAAACACUUUAAAGUAUCAGAAUGUAAACGCGUCUAACGCAUCUAUAAUACAACUUUUAGCAACGGAUCUCUUGGCUCUCGCAUCGAUGAAGAACGCAGCGAAAUGCGAUAAGUAAUGUGAAUUGCAGAAUUCAGUGAAUCAUCGAAUCUUUGAACGCACCUUGCGCUCCUUGGUAUUCCGAGGAGCAUGCCUGUUUGAGUGUCAUGGAAUUCUCAACCUAUAAAUCCUUGUGAUCUAUAGGCUUGGACUUGGAGGCUUGCUGGCCCUUGCGGUCGGCUCCUCUUGAAUGCAUUAGCUCGAUUCCGUAUGGAUCGGCUCUCAGUGUGAUAAUUGUCUACGCUGUGACCGUGAAGUGUUUUGGCGAGCUUCUAACCGUCCACUAGGACAACUUUUUAACAUCUGACCUCAAAUCAGGUAGGACUACCCGCUGAACUUAAGCAUAUC
rnacentral:rRNA from 1 species